UACGUAGGGGGCAAGCGUUGUCCGGAUUCAUUGGGCGUAAAGAGCGUGUAGGCGGCCAGGUAGGUCCGUUGUGAAAACUCGAGGCUCAACCUCGAGACGUCGAUGGAAACCAUCUGGCUAGAGUCCGGAAGAGGAGAGUGGAAUUCCUGGUGUAGCGGUGAAAUGCGCAGAUAUCAGGAAGAACACCUAUGGCGAAGGCAGCUCACUGGGACGAUACUGACGCUGAGACGCGAAAGCGUGGGGAGCAAACAGG
rnacentral:rRNA from 1 species